CUUGGUGUGAACUGAAAAUGCAGUCAAUUUAGUUGAAUGAAGUGAAUUUCAAAUAGGAUUUGUUUUUGAUGAUUUUAUUGAUAAGGGGUUGGUGAGUUUUAGCUGUAAAUUGAUUUUUGAUCUCUUUCCAGGUUUUGUGAUUCUUGAAUAACAGAGCUGAGGUUUGAAGGCGGAUUGUGUGAGGACUGAGGAGUUUUAGUGAAAUGGGGAGUAAUUAUCAUUUCAAGAACUUUGGUAAUGAGCCACCAGGUGAGGGUGGAAGUGGUGGUGGCGGGAAGCAGCCGGGGAACUUUGGAUUGCCGCGGCAGCCAUCUAUCUAUUCAUUGACGUUUGAUGAGUUUCUUAGCUCAACAGGAGGGAGUGGUAAGGAUUUUGGGUCAAUGAACAUGGAUGAGUUGUUAAAGAACAUAUGGAAUGCUGAGGAGAAUCAAACAAUAGGAGGGCCUGGGAUUAAUGGGCAAGAGGUUGGUGUUCCAGGUGGUCAUUUGCAGAGGCAAGGCUCUUUGACUCUACCUAGGACACUGAGUCAUAAGACUGUUGAUGAAGUUUGGAGGGAUAUGUCAAAGGAGCAUGGUGGUGGGAAGGAUGGAAAUAGUGUUGGAGUGCCACCAAAUAUACCUCAGACUCAGAGGCAACAGAAUUUAGGGGAGAUAACACUUGAGGAAUUCCUAGUUAGAGCUGGAGUUGUGAGAGAAGAUGCACAGUUUGCUGCAAAAUCGAAUAAUGCUGGAGGAAUCUUUGGUGAUUUGUCCUAUGCUGGGAAUAAUACAGGGCUUGCAUUUGGAUAUCAUCAAGCUAAUAGUAGGAACACAGGUUUAAUGGCUGGUAGUAUCCCUAACAAGAAUGGUGAAACUGUUAUUCAGUCUGCUAAUUUGCCACUGAAUGUGAAUGGGGUCAGAUCCACACAACAACAGCUAAGACCACAACAACUGCA
rnacentral:misc_RNA from 1 species